UACGUAGGGUGCAAGCGUUAUCCGGAAUUAUUGGGCGUAAAGAGCUCGUAGGCGGUUUGUCGCGUCUGUCGUGAAAAUCCGGGGCUCAACCCCGGACUUGCGGUGGGUACGGGCAGACUAGAGUGUGGUAGGGGAGACUGGAAUUCCUGGUGUAGCGGUGAAAUGCGCAGAUAUCAGGAGGAACACCGAUGGCGAAGGCAGGUCUCUGGGCCACUACUGACGCUGAGAAGCGAAAGCGUGGGGAGCGAACAGG
rnacentral:rRNA from 1 species